rnacentral:tRNA from 1 species
GGAGAGGUGGCAGAGUGGCCGAAUGCGCCGGUCUCGAAAACCGGUAUACCCGCAAGGGUAUCGAGAGUUCGAAUCUCUCCCUCUCCG